UACGUAGGGUGCAAGCGUUGUCCGGAAUUAUUGGGCGUAAAGAGCUCGUAGGCGGUCUGUUGCGUCGGCUGUGAAAACCCGGGGCUCAACUCCGGGCCUGCAGCCGAUACGGGCAGACUAGAGUUCGGCAGGGGAGACUGGAAUUCCUGGUGUAGCGGUGAAAUGCGCAGAUAUCAGGAGGAACACCGGUGGCGAAGGCGGUUCUCUGGGCCUUACCUGACGCUGAGGAGCGAAAGCGUGGGGAGCAAACAGG
rnacentral:rRNA from 1 species